UCUGCUCCAGACCCCCAUCCAUUUCUUCUCCAUUGCUAGGGGCCAGAUUUCCAAAGAAAGAGGUGCCACCACCAAGCUGAUAGGAGCUGUCUCCCUUCCUUCCCUGGAGUAUUUGUACAGCCACCAUCUGCUGUAAACAUGCCCUGCAGCGUAGUCACCAUUCUGGAAGGAGAAACAUGAAAGAACUUGAAGCUCUUGGAGUGAAACAGUGCAAAGCACCUGCAUGAGGUACCAGUGGUCACCUCUGAAACAGCUCCCUUGGAGUCACCACGUGUUGCCAUCACUAGACGGGGACAUCUCCCAAGCUUUGGAGCAGGCUUGGCUGUGGAUCCAGAAGAGGGCAAUGGUGACACAUCCUCACCGAGGCUCCAAGCACCACAUCUCCUGAGGGCAGCCACUGCAGGAAUGGAGCCAACAGCCAGACCACCUUGGCUAGUGGAUCUGCCUGUUCCUGGCUGUUCCGUGGCAAGCAGAUUGAAGUGGGAGGCAGCUUUCAGCUACUGUCUCAGCUUUUGUUCUGGUGCUGAAUGUGUUCUUUUCCCCAUGUGUCACUUCCAGAGGAAUACUGUGGAGAUGAAAUGCCAGUUGGUCAUCACAGGGCAUCUCACCUGUGGGGGCUGGAUGGAAACUCACAGGCUGGGGCCAUGCAGGGCCCAGGGACAAAUGGUGACUUCUGUCACUGCAGCAGCUCUCAGAAACACGGUGACACAGUGCCUGAGUACAUCAGUAGUAUGGGCAGAGCAGGUUGUGUGGGAUCAAUAAAACAAUGCCCAUUUUGUUGCUGUUUUGCAGCAAUGCUACGUAAUACUUGCUGAAAUCACUGGCUGGUCCAUUCAGCAGCUUUCAUUUCUGAUUAAGCUUUCCAGCCUGUAGGUAGCUUCUCUCACACCUGUCUUACCAUUUCCAUUUACAAGGGCUUAAUUUAGAAACCCAUUGUACUUGGGCCUGCACAGACCAAGCCAAUUUAUUUUACAUAAUGCCUCAGCACUUUAGGAAACAGUCUUGGUUUAAGUCCAUCCUAGAGGGAAGAAUGGACUUCUGCUUCAGGUUUUGGAUUGAGUUUUGAGAGAAAGAGACCCUGUUCUGAUAGUGUUCACAGAUUUACUGAGACCUUUUCCAAAUCACUUACCCUGCUUUGAACCUAACCUUUGAGUCUGGAAAAUAAUCAAUAUAACACUUAGCUCUGGUUUUAGGAUAAACAUAUCAAGGUGGCAUCAAAGCCCUUGUGUUCUGUGCUUUAGAAGCAGAAUAAAAAGCUGAUUUCUGUGCUGGGGGACUUCGGUGCAGAAGUGCAAGACGAGGACAAGAGGCAGGUGCGAGUCUGCUGAGAAGGGAUGGAACAAGGCAGAGCUGACAGGCAAAGAGGCGCUGGGCAUUGCUGCUGUCAGCUUUUCCAUCGCAUCUCAUCAGGGACGUGCAGGGAGAGAACGAAUCACUCCGUGGGCGUUCACGGGAAGCGGCCCCCGAGCACGGGACACGGGGGUUUGAGAAUCCUCGUGGGUGAUCUUCCCAGCAAACCUGGCCCGCAGGAGACGCCGUGAUAUGCCUGAAGGAGGCACAAACACCC
ensembl:lncRNA